rnacentral:rRNA from 1 species
UAUUGGACAAUGGGCGCAAGCCUGAUCCAGCCAUGCCGCGUGCAGGAUGACGGUCCUAUGGAUUGUAAACUGCUUUUAUACGAGAAGAAACACUGGUUCGUGAACCAGCUUGACGGUAUCGUAAGAAUAAGGAUCGGCUAACUCCGUGCCAGCAGCCGCGGUAAUACGGAGGAUCCAAGCGUUAUCCGGAAUCAUUGGGUUUAAAGGGUCCGUAGGCGGUUUAGUAAGUCAGUGGUGAAAGCCCAUCGCUCAACGGUGGAACGGCCAUUGAUACUGCUAAACUUGAAUUAUUAGGAAGUAACUAGAAUAUGUAGUGUAGCGGUGAAAUGCUUAGAGAUUACAUGGAAUACCAAUUGCGAAGGCAGGUUACUACUAAUGGAUUGACGCUGAUGGACGAAAGCGUGGGUAGCGAACAGG